rnacentral:tRNA from 1 species
UCCAGGGUAGCCUAGUGGACAUGGUAUCUGCCUGGUAAGCGGAACACUGUGGGUUCGAUUCCCAUCCCUGGAC